rnacentral:rRNA from 1 species
ACAGCAAUAUGGAGGGUCAGGGCUGAAGACCUUACCCGAUUAGCUGAGAGGUGGUGCAUGGCCGUCGUCAGUUCGUACUGUGAAGCAUCCUGUUAAGUCAGGCAACGAGCGAGACCCACGUCCACAGUUGCCAGCAUACCCUCCGGGGUGAUGGGUACACUGUGGAGACCGCCGCUGCUAAAGCGGAGGAAGGAGUGGGCAACGGUAGGUCAGUAUGCCCCGAAUCUCCCGGGCUACACGCGGGCUACAAUGGUUGGUACAAUGGGCAUCUACCCCGAAAGGGGAAGGAAAUCUCUUAAAGCCAAUCGUAGUUCGGAUUGAGGGCUGCAACUCGCCCUCAUGAAGCUGGAAUCCGUAGUAAUCGCGUUUCAACAGAACGCGGUGAAUACGUCCCUGCUCCUU